rnacentral:rRNA from 1 species
UACGUAGGGGGCUAGCGUUGUCCGGAAUCAUUGGGCGUAAAGCGCGCGUAGGCGGUCCGGUAAGUCCGCUGUGAAAGUCAAAGGCUCAACCUUUGAAUGUCAGCGGAUACUGCCGGGCUAGAGUCCGGAAGAGGCGAGUGGAAUUCCUGGUGUAGCGGUGGAAUGCGCAGAUAUCAGGAGGAACACCGACGGCGAAGGCAGCUCGCUGGGACGGUACUGACGCUGAGACGCGAAAGCGUGGGGAGCGAACAGG